rnacentral:lncRNA from 1 species
UAGGCGAUGCAUAUUUGGAAAUUAUUUUUUGUCAUGCAUUUGUGUUGCUUGUUGCUACACUUGGGACUUCGAUUUUUUUUUUGUUUCAGUUUCGGUAUACCAAGAUGGCCGGAGGAACAAUUUUCCUGUGUGGUUGUGAAUAUUAAGUUUUUCUCCUUGAUCGGGCAGUUGGAAAUAAAUUAAAAUAGCGUUGAUUGAAGUAAUACAGUCCUGUGGUAGUGACCAAAACGUAUUAGAAACGCCGGAAACAUCUUUCGCCGUCCGGAAUGGCGAUUUAUUGACCGACCCAAAAAGUGAGAUUCCUCCAGGAGGACGGUGAGAUUAAAGCGCCGACGUAUGGAUAGUUUCCACCCAGCAUCCGGCAAAAUUCCCAUGAGGCAGGGGAUCUUAAAAUGGACACCAAACAAGAUGAACCAAACG